ACGGGAGGCAGCAGUGGGGGAUAUUGCACAAUGGGGGAAACCCUGAUGCAGCGACGCCGCGUGGGUGAAGAAGUCUUUCGGGAUGUAAAGCCCUUUUAGCAGGGAAGACAGUGACGGUACCUGCAGAAAAAGCCCCGGCUAACUACGUGCCAGCAGCCGCGGUAAUACGUAGGGGGCAAGCGUUAUCCGGAUUUACUGGGUGUAAAGGGAGCGUAGACGGUAGAGCAAGUCUGAAGUGAAAUCAUAGGGCUUAACCCUGUAACUGCUUUGGAAACUGUUAAACUAGAGUACCGGAGGGGCAUGCGGAAUUCCCAGUGUAGCGGUGAAAUGCGUAGAUAUUGGGAAGAACACCGGUGGCGAAGGCGGCAUGCUGGACGGUAACUGACGUUGAGGCUCGAAAGCGUGGGGAGCAAACAGGAUUAGAUACCCUGGUA
rnacentral:rRNA from 1 species